rnacentral:rRNA from 1 species
GGGUCAGUAGGUUGGUCGUGCCACCGGUACGUACUGGUCUCACUGAUUCCUCCUUCCUGAAGAACCGUAAUGCCAUUAAUUUGGUGUUGCGGGGAAACAGGACUGUUACUUUGAAAAAAUUAGGGUGUUUAAAGUAAGCUAACGCUUGAAUACAUUAGCAUGGAAUAAUGAAAUAGGACGAUCGAUCCUAUUUUGUUGGUUACUAGGAUUGACGUA